rnacentral:rRNA from 1 species
GCAAGUCGAGCGAGAAGCCAUCUUCGGGUGGUGGAGAGCGGCGAACGGGUGAGUAACGCGUAGGUAUCUACCUAGUAGUGGGGAAUAACCAUUGGAAACGAUGGCUAAAACCGCAUAAGCCCUGAGGGGGAAAACUGAGGAGCUAGUAGAGGAGCCUGCGUUAGAUUAGCUAGUGGGUGAGGGAAUGGCUCACCAAGGCGACGAUCUAGAGCUGGUUUGAGAGGAUGAGC